rnacentral:rRNA from 1 species
UACCAGCACCCCGAGUGGUCGGGACGUUUAUUGGGCCUAAAGCAUCCGUAGCCGGUUCUACAAGUCUUCCGUUAAAUCCAACUGCUUAAUAGGUGGGCUGCGGAAGAUACUAUAGAGCUAGGAGGCGGGAGAGGCAAGCGGUACUCGAUGGGUAGGGGUAAAAUCCGUUGAUCCAUUGAAGACCACCAGUGGCGAAGGCGGCUUGCCAGAACGCGCUCGACGGUGAGGGAUGAAAGCUGGGGGAGCAAACCGG